UGCCUCCGCCUCUGCUUUUUCGAUUGUCUGCCUUCCUCCUCCUCCUCUGCUUUUUCGAUUGUCUACCUUCCUCCUUCUCCUCCUACUUGGCUCUUCUCCUCAGCUAUCAGCUAUUUCAUACCCAGAAGUGUUGGAUCCUGAGCAAGCAGUGAAAGGGCUAUCUGGUGUGAAUUGGAAUAAAUAAAAAAAAUUUGCUGGGUUUUUGAGACUUGUGAUGUUAUUCAUCAGUAUUCAUGCCUGGUUUCUUCUUGCAAUAAUUUUGUUGAUUGUUGUAGGAAACUCCGCUCUCAAACAUAGGCAAUGAACAAUUGAGUUGACAUGCUGCUGGGAGAAUUGUUUGCAAUGCAGAGAAGACUUGUCUCUUACUUUUGUGAUGAUGAACUGGGUGAGAUUCUUUAAGAGUGAUGUGUCAUAUUUGAAUUUUUGAAUAUCAUAUUUUAGUUUUGUUUUUAAGUUUUGAACUUUGUUCUAUUUCAGCAUCCUAUAGACCUGUGUUAACUUAUAUCUACAUGUGAUAUGGAUAUAACUUAUGCUUUCAAAUUAAUUUGACUUGUGUUAUAUCUUGUUUCGUACCUUUGUUUCGAAAAUUUCUUUGUAAAGACCAAAAAGAAUAGUGUGUUUUUAUCAUGAAUGAUGUAUGGACAAAUUGGAAUGUGUUGAAUAUGAUGCAAGCUGGUGUUACAGAGCAUGAUAUCCAAUAUGAUGAUGUAUGGGUGCAUGUAAUAUUAACCCAUAUUAACUCUGUUAAGGAAAUAGGGAAAAAGGCCAUGGCAUUGAAAUCAGUAUUGCUAGUCUUCUGUACAUCCUAUGUAUUUAUUAAGACGUGGGUAUUU